AUGACGAUUAACAAGGCUCAAGGCCAGACGAUUCCGAUUGUUGGCGUGUACCUACCUAAUCCUGUGUUCUCUCAUGGUCAACUCUAUGUCGCACUAUCUCGAGCCACCGCAAAGAGAAACAUAAAGAUCCUCAUUGAGAAGGAGAAGAAGGAGAAUGCCAAGAAGCAAAGCGGUAAACCUAAGAAGCGAAAAAGACCUGCCUUGUCCUUACAAACCUCGAUGAAGAACAUCGUCUAUAAGGAAGUCCUUACAGGCUGA
rnacentral:rRNA from 1 species